rnacentral:rRNA from 1 species
UGGGGAAUAUUGCACAAUGGGCGAAAGCCUGAUGCAGCAACGCCGCGUGAGUGAUGACGGCCUUCGGGUUGUAAAGCUCUGUCUUUGGGGACGAUAAUGACGGUACCCAAGGAGGAAGCCACGGCUAACUACGUGCCAGCAGCCGCGGUAAUACGUAGGUGGCAAGCGUUGUCCGGAUUUACUGGGCGUAAAGGGUGCGUAGGCGGACCUUUAAGUGAGAUGUGAAAUCCCCGAGCUUAACUUGGGGGCUGCAUUUCAAACUGGA